UGUGCAGGCAGAGAGAGGGAGGGAGAGAGAGAGCCGUAGUGACUUCAGGUCUACACGCUGAGGGAGGACAGAGGGAGCACAGAGUUUGCUGGAGUUUCAUCACACACGUAGUUGGAAUUGCCUUCCAAAGCAUCCUUUUUAUUACUCUGCAAAAUGUGUCAAGGGUGGUCUCCUGCCGUGCUUCUCGCCCUGCUGUGUAGGAUGGUUGCACCCCUGCAGCUCAUGGAAG